UAAGCGGAGGAAAAGAAACCAACAGGGAUUGCCUCAGUAACGGCGAGUGAAGCGGCAAAAGCUCAAAUUUGAAAUCCUUCGGGAGUUGUAAUUUGUAGGUUGGGAGACCCCGCGGCUAGUGGCACCAAGUCCCUUGGAACAGGGCGCCUUAGAGGGUGAGAGCCCCGUAGGUACCACAAUACCGUCUUGUGUCUCCUCUCCAAAGAGUCGAGUUGUUUGGGAAUGCAGCUCAAAGUGGGUGGUAAAUUCCAUCUAAAGCUAAAUACCGGCGAGAGACCGAUAGCGAACAAGUACAGUGAUGGAAAGAUGAAAAGCACUUUGAAAAGAGAGUGAAACAGUACGUGAAAUUGUUGAAAGGGAAGGGCUUGCAAGCAGACACGGCCUUCGUGCCGGGCCAGCAUCGGUUGCUAGGGGUGGAUAAGGAACAAGGAAUGUAGCUCCUCGGAGUAUUAUAGCCUUGCGCGAUACACCCACUGGCGACC
rnacentral:rRNA from 1 species